GCUUUCCUGUGGCUCAACUGGUAAAUCAUUGCUUUAACAACGCAAAGAUUGUGGGUUCAUAUCCCGGAGAAAGCA